rnacentral:rRNA from 1 species
UCAGUAACACGUAGUCAACAUAACCAAAGGACGUGGAUAAACUCGGGAAACUGAGGCUAAACCGCGAUAGUUCAAGAUACCUGGAAUGGUUUUUGAUCAAAAUCUAUAUGGCCUUUGGAUUGGACUGCGUCCGAUCAGGCUGUUGGUGAGGUAAUGGCCCACCAAACCUAUAACCGGUACGGGCUCUGAGAGGAGGAGCCCGGAGAUGGGUACUGAGAUAAGGACCCAGGCCCUAUGGGGCGCAGCAGGCGCGAAACCUCUGCAAUAGGCGAAAGCUUGACAGGGUUACUCUGAGUGAUUUCCGUUAAGGAGAUCUUUUGGCACCUCUAAAAAUGGUGCAGAAUAAGGGGUGGGCAAGCCUGGUGCCAGCCGCCG